rnacentral:rRNA from 1 species
GACGAACGCUGGCGGCGUGCCUAAUACAUGCAAGUAGAACGCUGAAGAGAGGAGCUUGCUCUUCUUGGAUGAGUUGCGAACGGGUGAGUAACGCGUAGGUAACCUACCUGGUAGCGGGGGAUAACUAUUGGAAACGAUAGCUAAUACCGCAUAAGAGUAGAUAUCGCAUGAUAUGUGCUUAAAAGGUGCAAUUGCAUCACUACCAGAUGGACCUGCGUUGUAUUAGCUAGUUGGUGAGGUAACGGCUCACCAAGGCAACGAUACAUAGCCGACCUGAGAGGGUGAUCGGCCACACUGGGACUGAGACACGGCCCAGACUCCUACGGGAGGCAGCAGUAGGGAAUCUUCGGCAAUGGACGGAAGUCUGACCGAGCAACGCCGCGUGAGUGAAGAAGGUUUUCGGAUCGUAAAGCUCUGUUGUAAGAGAAGAACGAGUGUGAGAGUGGAAAGUUCACACUGUGACGGUAUCUUACCAGAAAGGGACGGCUAACUACGUGCCAGCAGCCGCGGUAAUACGUAGGUCCCGAGCGUUGUCCGGAUUUAUUGGGCGUAAAGCGAGCGCAGGCGGUUAGAUAAGUCUGAAGUUAAAGGCUGUGGCUUAACCAUAGUACGCUUUGGAAACUGUUUAACUUGAGUGCAAGAGGGGAGAGUGGAAUUCCAUGUGUAGCGGUGAAAUGCGUAGAUAUAUGGAGGAACACCGGUGGCGAAAGCGGCUCUCUGGCUUGUAACUGACGCUGAGGCUCGAAAGCGUGGGGAGCAAACAGG